GCUAUACUGCAAGUCGAGCGGACAGAUGGGAGCUUGCUCCCUGAUGUUAGCGGCGGACGGGUGAGUAACACGUGGGUAACCUGCCUGUAAGACUGGGAUAACUCCGGGAAACCGGGGCUAAUACCGGAUGCUUGUUUGAACCGCAUGGUUCAAACAUAAAAGGUGGCUUCGGCUACCACUUACAGAUGGACCCGCGGCGCAUUAGCUAGUUGGUGAGGUAAUGGCUCACCAAGGCAACGAUGCGUAGCCGACCUGAGAGGGUGAUCGGCCACACUGGGACUGAGACACGGCCCAGACUCCUACGGGAGGCAGCAGUAGGGAAUCUUCCGCAAUGGACGAAAGUCUGACGGAGCAACGCCGCGUGAGUGAUGAAGGUUUUCGGAUCGUAAAGCUCUGUUGUUAGGGAAGAACAAGUACCGUUCGAAUAGGGCGGUACCUUGACGGUACCUAACCAGAAAGCCACGGCUAACUACGUGCCAGCAG
rnacentral:rRNA from 1 species